rnacentral:rRNA from 1 species
GGGGUGCUCGAGUGGCGGACGGGUGAGUAACACGUGAGUAACCUGCCCUUGACUUUGGGAUAACCUCAGGAAACUGGGGCUAAUACCGGAUAGGAGCUCCUGCUGCAUGGUGGGGGUUGGAAAGUUUCGGCGGUUGGGGAUGGACUCGCGGCUUAUCAGCUUGUUGGUGGGGUAGUGGCUUACCAAGGCUUUGACGGGUAGCCGGCCUGAGAGGGUGACCGGCCACAUUGGGACUGAGAUACGGCCCAG